UGCAGAAUCACUUUAGGAAGAAAGAGAAAAUAUUAAAAUAAUAUUAAUUAAGGUUAAAAUGGUAAUUUUUGGAGGUGCAGGAUGAAAGCUUGGAGGUGGAGGAUGAAACACUUUAGUGUGUUUCAUAUUUCUUUUAUUUCACUUAACAUGACCUGCCCGAAUAGUCUUAUUAGAAAGUUGGUGUUUGGGGUUUUUCUUGGUGCGUCUCACUUUUUCUUACUGCACCCC
rnacentral:lncRNA from 1 species